rnacentral:rRNA from 1 species
UAAAACGUAGGAGACAAACGUUAUCCGGAGUUACUGGGCGUAAAGGGCGUGCAGGCGGUUGAUUAAGUCUAGCGUGAAAGCUCCCGGCUAAACCGGGAGAGGUCGUUGGAUACUGGUUGACUAGAGGACGGUAGAGGCGAGUGGAAUUCCGGGUGUAGUGGUGAAAUGCGUAGAGAUCCGGAGGAACACCAGUGGCGAAGGCGACUCGCUGGGCCGUACCUGACGCUAAGACGCGACAGCAUGGGGAGCGAACGGGAUUAGAAACCCCGGUAGUCCAUGCCGUAAACGAUGCCAGCUCGGUGUUCGAUCUCCGCAAGGGGAUGGGGUACCCAAGCAAACGCGGUAAGCUGGCCGCCUGGGGAGUACGGUCGCAAGGCUA